rnacentral:rRNA from 1 species
GCCCCGGCUAACUACGUGCCAGCAGCCGCGGUAAUACGUAGGGGGCAAGCGUUAUCCGGAUUCAUUGGGCGUAAAGAGCGCGUAGGCGGCUUGUUAAGCGAGAUGUGAAAUCCGGGGGCUCAACCCGCGGCUUGCAUCUCGAACUGGCAGGCUUGAGUCUGGUAGAGGAGUGUGGAAUUCCCAGUGUAGCGGUGAAAUGCGCAGAUAUUGGGAGGAACACCAGUGGCGAAGGCGGCACUCUGGGCCACGACUGACGCUGAGGCGCGAAAGCUAGGGGAGCGAACAGGAUUAGAUACCCUGGUAGUCCUAGCCGUAAACGAUGGGCACUAGGUGUGGGGGUUUUACUCCCUCCGUGCCGCAGCUAACGCAUUAAGUGCCCCGCCUGGGGAGUACGGCCGCA